rnacentral:rRNA from 1 species
CCCUUAGAUGUUCUGGGCCGCACGCGCGCUACACUGACGAUGGCAACGAGUUUUUCCUUCGCCGAAAGGUGUGGGUAAUCUUUUGAAACAUCGUCGUGCUGGGGAUAGAUCAUUGCAAUUUUUGAUCCUGAACGAGGAAUUCCUAGUAAGCGCGAGUCAUCAGCUCGCGUUGAUCACGUCCCUGCCCUUUGUACACACCGCCCGUCGCUACUACCGAUUGAAUGGUUUAGUGAGGACUCCUGAUUGGCGCCGCCGCCCCGGCAACGGAGCAGCGGACUGCCGAAAAGUUGUUCAAACUUGAUCAUUUAGAGGAAGUAAAAGUCGUAACA